UGCUGCAUGAAAGUUAGCCUAGGUAAUCCGUCUGGAGCUAAGCUGGUUUGAACCAGGCCAGUGCUUGGAUGGGAGGCCAACUUGGAAAGCUGGGUUGCUGCUGUAA
rnacentral:rRNA from 1 species